GUAGUACUCCCUCCGUCCGAAAAUACUUGUCAGAGAAAUGGAUGAAAAUGGGUGUAUCUAAAACUAAAUUGCGUCUAAUACAUCCAUUUCUUCGACAAAUAUUUUCAGACGGAGGGAGUACAUA
rfam:Triticum aestivum genome assembly, contig: Triticum_aestivum_CS42_TGACv1_scaffold_407871_5BL